UUUAGCAGAUGUGGUACGCUAUUAUAUGUCAUUUCUCAGCUCUUGAAAAGCUUUGGUUCACCUCAAAAUAGUGUAUAAAUACCAUAAAAUGAUUGGCCCACUGAUGUCGAUGUAACCGAUGUGAAACGGCUAGCUAGUUAGCGGUGGUGCGCGCUAAUAGCCUUUCAAACGGUGACGUCACUCGCUCUGAGACCUUGAAGUAGUGGUUCCCCCUUUGCUCUGCAAGGACCGCGGCUUUUGUGGAGCGAUGGGUAACGAUGCUUCGUGGGUGACUGUUGUUGACGUGUGCAGAGGGUCCCUGGUUCGCGCCCGGGUCGAGGCGAGGGGACGGACUAAAGUUAUACUGUUACAUCGACAUGGAUCUCCAUGCUUUCCUAUGGCUCUGUAACGUUCUAUUUUAAUGUUUGUCUCCGGAUGCUGUUUACAUUUUAAAGCAUUGUGACACAAUUGACUUUACCUGCCGUACAGUGUUGAUCCUUACGUAAACAACGGGUAGAAGGCUAAUUUAUCACAAUCCACUGCCAGCUAUACUAGAUAACAUAAUGGUUUAUUUAAUUUACUAUUGAAUUAAUUUGAUGUUUGAUUUUUGUUGCAGUUUGGAUGGAUAAAAAACAGAAUCGCUGUGGGCUCAACAUAUAUAAAUGAGAAGCAGGUCAAAAGGAGUUGAUGCAUCAUAUUGCAGAAGUGGAGAGAAACAGAUUCUCAGAGACAAUCUGAAAAAACACCACAUUUCUCUCCGUCGUGUCAGAUGGCUCCACAGGCGGUUUAAGUGAAAGACGAGGAGUUAGAUUAUGUCGGAUUCUGUCACAAGGGCAAGAUCGAGUCGAAGUUUGUUGGCAUCAAGUCAGGAGGAGAAGAUAGACGUGACAUAAGCAACGCCAUCAGUGCCAUCAUGGAGGGAGUGCGUGAAGAGUGGGCGAGCAAGUUGGUCGCUCUGGGGAACAGAUGGAGCUGCUGUGAUGACCAGAGCCAACGAUGGUGUGGUCAGCCGGCUGAAGGGGGACAGGACCUACAUCAUCGACAUCCACUUGUAUGGCACACCGCCUUGAACUGACCUGUUCUGAUUGCCAUCUGGUCCAACGUGAUGUUUCAGAAUGACCUCCUCGGUGGGCUCUACACCUUCUACCAGUCCACUGAACAGGGCAAACCUGGUAAACAGCUGCCAGGCUCUUGGGCACACACCACUGGUGCCCACCAGAAUUGGUGGGACACGAUAGAUAGGACACCUACUGCGUAGACUGGACCACUUCCUGUGAGGUUUGAGGGGCGUGUCCAGCACCUGGAACAGAUUCAAUCUGCUGAUGCCCAAAAUGUCUGAGAUCCUUGUCCUCCUAAACAUAAUUUGGAAACUCUUGGAGGUGAGAGGUCGGGGAUGUCUUCUCCUCUGUUUCACUGACUGAUACGAGGAGAGCGUCACGCCUGCUCCCGCUUCCCCUCCCUGGCGCUCGAAGGCGCCAGGCUCCCCAGCAUUACGCACUCCUGCCACCAGCAUUACGCACUCCUGCCACCAUCAGUACGUACACCUGCCUUCCCCCCCGUCAUGAGCAUCAGCGAUUACUGGACUCACCUGGACUCAAUCACCUGUGUCAUUACCUCCGCUAUAUCUGUCUGUUCCCAAGAUCUCUUCCCCGCUUCAGGAUUCAUGUUUAUUUGUCUUUGCGUACCCGAUUCUGACGCUGUCUCAGUCCUGUUUGAUGUCUGUUCUAUAUUAAAUGUUCUACUUCUCGUA